rnacentral:rRNA from 1 species
GACGAACACUGGCGGCGUGCUUAACACAUGCAAGUCGAACGAAGUGGUGAACGGGUGAGUAACGCGUAAUCAACCUGCCCUUCAGAGGGGGACAACAGUUGGAAACGACUGCUAAUACCGCAUACUGAAGGAGGGGAUUGCGUCUGAUUAGCUAGUUGGAGGGGUAACGGCCCACCAAGGCGAUGAUCAGUAGCCGGGCUGGGAGGGUGAACGGGCACAAUGGGACUGGGACACGGGCCAGACUCCUAAGGGAAGCAGCAGUGGGGAAACUUCCGCAAUGGGAGGAAAUCUGACGGAGCAACGCCGCGUGAGGGAUGACGGGCUUCGGGUUGUAAAACUCUGUUAAUCGGGACGCGGUACCGGAAGAGAAAGCCACGGCUAACUACGUGCCAGCAGCCGCGGUAAUAC